rnacentral:rRNA from 1 species
AUUGAACGCUGGCGGCAGGCCUCACACCUGCAAGUCGAGCGGAGCGGCGGACGGGUGAGGAAUGCCUAGGAAUCUGCCUGGUAGUGGGGGAUAACGUCCGGAAACGGGCGCGAAUACCGCAUACUAGCAGAUGAGCCUAGGUCGGAUUAGCUAGUUGGUGGGGUAAAGGCCUACCAAGGCGACGAUCCGUAACUGGUCUGAGAUGAUGAUCAGUCACACUGGAACUGUGACACGGUCCAGACUCCUACGGGAGUCAGCAGUGGGGAAUAUUGGACAAUGGGCGAAAGCCUGAUCCAGCCAUGCCGCGUGUGUGAAGAAGGUCUUCGGAUUGUAAAGCACUUUAAGUUGGGAGGCGUUACCAACAGAAUAAGCACCGGCUAACUUCGUGCCAGCAGCCGCGGUAAUAC